rnacentral:misc_RNA from 1 species
GAUGGUCAAAGGAAACAGGGGGUUGAAGGGGAGGAAGAAGAAAAUUAAGCGAAUGGUUGGUGGGUAUUGGAUCAAUGGUAGAAGGGAGAUUAGGGUAGUGUUUUAGGAGCUUUUUGAGGGGUUUGUAACAGAGAAAUUUGUCCCUCCACUCGGGGAGGGUCUGUUCCAGAUGGGUCUUGAAUUCCUUCCCAAAUUUCAUACCCGGAAGCUCGAAAGAUUGGAGUUGAAGAUGAGAAGAAAUGAG